rnacentral:tRNA from 1 species
AGCCCUGUAGUAUAGUACCGAUUUUACAUGUUUAAAAUCGAAUAUAGAACGGUAGUAUUCCAGACUUUGGAUCUGGCUGCCCCAGUUCAAAUCUGGGCAGGGCUA